rnacentral:rRNA from 1 species
GAUGAACGCUGGCGGCGUGCCUAAUACAUGCAAGUCGAGCGAACAGACGAGGAGCUUGCUCCUCUGACGUUAGCGGCGGACGGGUGAGUAACACGUGGAUAACCUACCUAUAAGACUGGGAUAACUACGGGAAACCGGAGCUAAUACCGGAUAAUAUAUUGAACCGCAUGGUUCAAUAGUGAAAGACGGUUUUGCUGUCACUUAUAGAUGGAUUCGCGCCGCAUUAGCUAGUUGGUAAGGUAACGGCUUACCAAGGCAACGAUUCGUAGCCGACCUGAGAGGGUGAACGACCACACUGGAACUGAGACACGGUCCAGACCCCCACGGGAUGAAGCAGUAAGAAAUCUUCCGCAAUGGGCGAAAGCCUGACGGAGCAACGCCGCGUGAGUGAUGAAGGUCUUCGGAUCGUAAAACUCUGUUAUUAGGGAAGAACAAAUGUGUAAGUAACUAUGCACGUCUUGACGGUACCUAAUCAGAAGGCCACGGCUAACUACGUG